rnacentral:misc_RNA from 1 species
GAUGAAGAACGGAGCAAAAUGCGAUAAGUAAUGUGAAUUGCAGAAUUCAGUGAAUCAUCGAAUCUUUGAACGCACAUUGCGCCCGCCAGUAUUCUGGCGGGCAUGCCUGUUCGAGCGUCAUUUCAACCCUCAAGCACAGCUUGGUGUUGGGACUCGCGUUAAUUCGCGUUCCCCAAAUUGAUUGGCGGUCACGUCGAGCUUCCAUAGCGUAGUAGUAAAACCCUCGUUACUGGUAAUCGUCGCGGCCACGCCGUUAAACCCCAACUUCUGAAUGUUGACCUCGGAUCAGGUAGGAAUACCCGCUGAACUUAAGCAUAUCAAUAAGCGGAGGA